rnacentral:rRNA from 1 species
UACAGAGGUCUCGAGCGUUAGGCGGAAUCACUGGGCUUAAAGCGUGUGUAGGCGGACUGGUAAGUACCUUGUGAAAUCCCACGGCUCAACCGUGGGAACUGCUGGGUAUACUGCUUGUCUUGUGCACCUAGGGCUGUCGGACAAGCGGUGGAGCGGUGAAAUGCGUAGAUAUCGCUUGGACGCCAAAGGUGAAAACAGACAGCUGGGAGUGUGCUGCGCUGAGACACGAAAGCCCAGGGGAGCGAACGGGG